rnacentral:rRNA from 1 species
GUAGGUGGCAAGCGUUGUCCGGAAUUAUUGGGCGUAAAGCGCGCGCAGGCGGUCCUUUAAGUCUGAUGUGAAAGCCCACGGCUCAACCGUGGAGGGUCAUUGGAAACUGGGGGUACUUGAGUACAGAAGAGGAAAGCGGAAUUCCAAGUGUAGCGGUGAAAUGCGUAGAGAUUUGGAGGAACACCAGUGGCGAAGGCGGCUUUCUGGUCUGUAACUGACGCUGAGGCGCGAAAGCGUGGGGAGCAAACAGGAUUAGAUACCCUGGUAGUCCACGCCGUAAACGAUGAGUGCUAAGUGUUAGGGGGUUUUACCCGCCCCCCUUAGUGCUGCAGCUAACGCAUUAAGCACUCCGCCUGGGGGUAGUACGGCCGCAAGGCUG